AGAGUUUGAUCAUGGCUCAGAACGUACGCUGGCGGCACGCCUUAUACAUGCAAGUCGAACGAAGUAGCAAUACUUAGUGGCAGACGGGUGAGUAACAUGUGGGUAUCUUCCCUUUGGUGAGGAAUAACACGAGGAAACUUGUGCUAAUACCUCAUAAGUCUUUACGGAGAAAGCUUUAUGCGCCAAUGGAUGAGCCCGCACUUGAUUAGUUUGUUGGUGGGGUAAUGGCUUACCAAGACUUUGAUCAAUAGCUGAUCUGAGAGGAUGAUCAGCCACAUUGGGACUGAGACACGGCCCAAACUCCUACGGGAGGCAGCAGUAGGGAAUAUUGCACAAUGGAGGAAACUCUGAUGCAGCGAUGCCGCGUGAGUGAAGAAGGCCCUUGGGUUGUAAAGCUCUUUCGUCGGGGAAGAAAAUGACUGUACCCGAAUAAGAAGGUCCGGCUAACUUCGUGCCAGCAGCCGCGGUAAUACGAAGGGACCUAGCGUAGUUCGGAAUUACUGGGCUUAAAGAGUUCGUAGGUGGUUAAAAAAGUUGGUUGUGAAAUCCCGGAGCUUAACUCCGGAACUGCAAUCAAAACUUUUUAGCUAGAGUAUGAUAGAGGAAAGCAGAAUUUCUAGUGUAGAGGUGAAAUUCGUAGAUAUUAGAAAGAAUACCGAUUGCGAAGGCAGCUUUCUGGAUCAUUACUGACACUGAGGAACGAAAGCAUGGGUAGCGAAGAGGAUUAGAUACCCUCGUAGUCCAUGCUGUAAACGAUGUGUGUUAGACGUUGGAAAUUUAAUUUUAGUGUCGCAGCGAAAGCAAUAAACACACCGCCUGGGGAGUACGACCGCAA
rnacentral:rRNA from 1 species